AGAUUGAACGCUGGCGGCAGGCCUAACACAUGCAAGUCGAGCGGUAGAGAGGUGCUUGCACCUCUUGAGAGCGGCGGACGGGUGAGUAAUGCCUAGGAAUCUGCCUAGUGGUGGGGGAUAACGUUCGGAAACGGACGCUAAUACCGCAUACGUCCUACGGGAGAAAGCGGGGGACCUUCGGGCCUCGCGCCAUUAGAUGAGCCUAGGUCGGAUUAGCUAGUUGGUGAGGUAAUGGCUCACCAAGGCGACGAUCCGUAACUGGUCUGAGAGGAUGAUCAGUCACACUGGAACUGAGACACGGUCCAGACUCCUACGGGAGCAGCAGUGGGAAUAUUGGACAAGUGGG
rnacentral:rRNA from 1 species